rnacentral:rRNA from 1 species
AAAUAUCACCAUAUCACCCUGCAGCCCAAGACUGGUUGCCCACUGAAGCUAAGCAGGGUUGAGCCUGGUCAGUACCUGGAUGGGAGACCUCCUGAUCAUUCAUUCAUUC